AUCCCUCCUCCCCUGCCCCCGUCCACAGUGAUGAGCGGCUAGGCCGCAUCCACGAAAGUAGCAUAUGGGCCAUUGCAACCACCAUCGGGAGCGGCCGCCUCCUCUCCUCUCCACCACCAGUGAAUGGCGCGGUGUAGGGAGCACCGAGUGCCGCCAAGCAUGGCCAAUGACCUUGACGCGUAUGGCAGCGGUGGCGGCGUUCGCCUCGGCAAUUUCGACAUCCGAAUCAAGGAGUGGCGGCGCAAGAACACGACGCUGCACGGGAUCGAACCAGAGGGAUGUGAUCCACCCUGUCCAGAGGGUCAUUUCUAUGUGUGGUUAGGGUAGGGAUCUACGUGCUCUUCCACCGGAUUGAUUUCGCGCCUCCAUUGCUUGCGUUAUCUACUCAUUCAUGCUCUCCUCUUCUUAUUUCGUUUUCAUCUUCUGGUUUGCUGCUUUGUCUUCUCCUGUGCGUUUGUUCCAAGGUGAGCCUCUUUCUUUCUCCCAUGCUUUUGACCUGCUCGAUAGAAUGCCUGUGUGGCUGCAAGCUAUUUUCUUCCUUGGGUUAGGUUCCUUUUGGUUUCUUGCAUAGUUCAAAAAAGCGCUAGACGUUAAUUGUGCGUUUUGCCACCGGCUUGCGCUUUACUGACUAAAGCACAUGCUUAUGCGCAAUUAUGCGCGGAUUAAAUGUAGUUAUGCGCAAUGCGUUUUGCCAACGCCUAGAGCCUAGGCGCGCUUUUUUAACUAUGAUUUCUUGACAAACAUGUGAAUUUUUCUCUGAGUGGAAAAAAACGGGUGGUGAAGAGGAGAGGAAUUGCUUGAUAUGUUUAUGUAGCAUGAGAUUUCCAAAGUUAGUUUACAACUUGUUAGCCAAUUUUGGUUGUCUCAACUCCAAUGACUGAUGUUGGAUAGAUCAUACUAAUGUGUUGAUUUUGUUCCUAGGCUUGUGUAAGUACAAAAGAAGCAGCAGAAGAUUGAAAACAUCAUUCUGUGUGCUGCAUGUAUGUGAUGAUUUUGUGACCAUCAGGAUUGAUUUCUUUUAUUAAGUGGCUCAUCAAAUGUUUGAGAAAAUGGCCAUAAGAGGAUUGAUGAAACUUGAAAGAGGUUGUGGUAUUUCUAGCAGGUUGAGAGGAUAACUCGUGACAGGGUUCAGGUGAAGUAGGAAAGACCCACCAUGACCUGCGAGUUAAUGGUUUUUGGGGGUAUGAACAAUUUAAUGUGUUAUCUCCAUUCAUAGUUUAGUGUACCUAGCUGUUUUCUUUGCAUGUUGAAUAAUAUUUUUGGUACCAGUAGGCCUUUUCCCAACCACAGGUAAAUAUCAUGAGGCUACCUGUAAGUUGGAAUCCUACAGCUGCCACCCAUGGCUCAUUUCAAGUAGUAAUUUCAGAGUUAAUUUUCCUAUUGGAGGUGGGAUUUCUAUUGCCGUUUCUACAGCAUGAAUGUUCUGUUUCUAUCAUGGCCAUGGUGUUCAUGUAUGUUUGGAAGAAAACAUAUUCCAUCUUCCUAUCUUAAUAAAACCAGAACCAUCCAUAUAAUAGUCACUUGUGCCACAACAGUUUAGGUUCACAGAGUUUCUAAUUUCUAGCUACACAUAUUUCAUAAGUAUCCACAUCACUAUGGUAUGCAGCAAACUGAAUACAAUUUGAUAUGGUGCUAUCAACAUGUUCCUUGCAAUAAGUUCUGCUUCUGCUAAUAUACUGCAGCAAACAAUGUUCUAUAUUUAACAAAAUUGCCUAGAUGAUGAUAUGAUCUUUGACAGUGAUUGAUGAUACAUCAAGGAUUACGAAGUUCUGCUUUUCCUAAUAUACUGCAGGAAACAAUGUUGUAUAUUUAAUUUUUUUGCUGAGAUGACGAUAUCUUUGACAGUGAUUGAUGAUACAUCAAGGAUGACGAAGUUCUGCUUCUCCUAAUAUACUGCUGCAAACAAUGUUGUAUAUUUAACAAAAUUGCCUAGAUGAUGAUAUGAUCUUUGACAGUGAUUGAUGAGGAUUACGAUGGUCUAUAUAGAUUAUCCAAUCAGUACAUGUGGUCCACUACUCUGGUUGAUACACAACCUCAACCAGUGCUGCCUAUUUCUUUUUAAACAGGGACAAUCUUCCUGUGCAAAAUAAUUUGGAACAGAGGCACCAUGUGUGCUCCGUGCAUUUUCAGCUUGAACGCACGGAUGUACAUGUGCAUAUAUAUUUUCACGCACUAGAUGCGUGCUAUUUUUUUACAA